GAUGAACGCUAGCGGCAGGCCUAAUACAUGCAAGUCGGACGGGAUUCAGGAGCUUGCUUCUGAUGAGAGUGGCGCACGGGUGCGUAACACGUAUGUAACCUACCUUUAUCAGGGGGAUAGCCUCUCGAAAGAGAGAUUAAGCCCGCAUAAAAUCACAGCACAGCAUUGUGUAAUGAUCAAAUAUUUAUAGGAUAAAGAUGGGCAUGCGGAACAUUAGCUAGAUGGCGGGGUAACGGCCCACCAUGGCGACGAUGUUUAGGGGAUCUGAGAGGAUGGCCCCCCACACUGGUACUGAGACACGGACCAGACUCCUACGGGAGGCAGCAGUAAGGAAUAUUGGUCAAUGGGCGGAAGCCUGAACCAGCCAUGCCGCGUGCAGGAAGACGGCCCUACGGGUUGUAAACUGCUUUUAUACGGGAAUAAACCCAGAUACGUGUAUCUGGCUGAAUGUACUGUAAGAAUAAGGAUCGGCUAACUCCGUG
rnacentral:rRNA from 1 species